GGCAUCAUACUUAAUACGUGUGGUGAUUGACGUACUCGCAGAAGAAGCACCGGCUAACUCCGUGCCAGCAGCCGCGGGUAAUACGGAGGGUGCAAGCGUUAAUCGGAAAUUACUGGGCGUAAAGCGCACGCAGGCGGUUUGUUAAGUCAGAUGUGAAAUCCCCGCGCUUAACGUGGGAACUGCAUUUGAAACUGGCAAGCUAGAGUCUUGUAGAGGGGGGUAGAAUUCCAGGUGUAGCGGUGAAAUGCGUAGAGAUCUGGAGGAAUACCGGUGGCGAAGGCGGCCCCCUGGACAAAGACUGACGCUCAGGUGCGAAAGCGUGGGGAGCAAACAGGAUUAGAUACCCUGGUAGUCCACGCUGUAAACGAUGUCGACUUGGAGGUUGUGCCCUUGAGGCGUGGCUUCCGGAGCUAACGCGUUAAGUCGACCGCCUGGGGAGUACGGCCGCAAGGUUAAAACUCAAAUGAAUUGACGGGGGCCCGCACAAGCGGUGGAGCAUGUGGUUUAAUUCGAUGCAACGCGAAGAACCUUACCUACUCUUGACAUCCACGGAAUUCGCCAGAGAUGGCUUAGUGCCUUCGGGAACCGUGAGACAGGUGCUGCAUGGCUGUCGUCAGCUCGUGUUGUGAAAUGUUGGGUUAAGUCCCGCAACGAGCGCAACCCUUAUCCUUUGUUGCCAGCACGUAAUGGUGGGAACUCAAAGGAGACUGCCGGUGAUAAACCGGAGGAAGGUGGGGAUGACGUCAAGUCAUCAUGGCCCUUACGAGUAGGGCUACACACGUGCUACAAUGGCAUAUACAAAGAGAAGCGAACUCGCGAGAGCAAGCGGACCUCAUAAAGUAUGUCGUAGUCCGGAUUGGAGUCUGCAACUCGACUCCAUGAAGUCGGAAUCGCUAGUAAUCGUAGAUCAGAAUGCUACGGUGAAUACGUUCCCGGGCCUUGUACACACCGCCCGUCACACCAUGGGAGUGGGUUGCAAAAGAAGUAGGUAGCUUAACCUCGGGAAAGCGUCUCACC
rnacentral:rRNA from 1 species